AAUGGGCGCAAGCCUGAUCCAGCCAUGCCGCGUGAGUGAUGAAGGCCCUAGGGUCGUAAAGCUCUUUCGCCUGUGAAGAUAAUGACGGUAGCAGGUAAAGAAACCCCGGCUAACUCCGUGCCAGCAGCCGCGGUAAUACGGAGGGGGUUAGCGUUGUUCGGAAUUACUGGGCGUAAAGCGCUCGUAGGCGGAUUAGUCAGUCAGAGGUGAAAUCCCAGGGCUCAACCCUGGAACUGCCUUUGAUACUGCUAGUCUUGAGUUCGAGAGAGGUAAGUGGAAUUCCGAGUGUAGAGGUGAAAUUCGUAGAUAUUCGGAGGAACACCAGUGGCGAAGGCGGCUUACUGGCUCGAUACUGACGCUGAGGUGCGAAAGUGUGGGGAGCAAACAGGAUU
rnacentral:rRNA from 1 species